CCUGCGUGCACGCCACCGAUUUCGCCUGCCUGAACUCCCCACUGCCCCUAUUUCUUCUCCCCCGCUCUCGAUCUCAAUCGCGGCCCCCGUACCGCAGUCGACCUCCAGAUCCUCUGCCAUCGAUUCGUGGCCGCCAACACGCUGAGGGGGCGGGGAGGGUGGGCAUGGACAAAAACUGGCUCAGCGGCGGUGCGUUGCUCAGCGCGUCUAGGAGCUCUCGACGGCAGGCCUCUAGGAUGGCGGCCAUGAUGCAUGGGCUCAGGAGGAUGUUCGUGGCGCACAACAGCAAGAGCUGGGCACACAGGGAUGAGCAGAGCACUGCCUUUGCCUCUACAUCUACAUCUGUUAGCCCAAACAUACGAGCUGCUAGUUCUAGAUUCCCUCCUUUCAAAAGCAAAUCUUGAGAAUAACAGGUAUAAGAAGACCCCAAAAGAGGAGCAAAAUCAUUGAUUGGAUGUGAUCUGAUCCUGAGGCGCCAAGGUGAUGUCAGAUUUAUGUUGGUUCAGUAGAUUUAUGUUGGUUUGCCUGUUCUCCUUGGUCAGUUUCCCCCGACCGAAGGAAUGGCAUGAUGUAUUGUAGUUUAUAAAAUGGAAUACAUUUAUGUGGAUAAACUACUUUGUUUGUGCA